GUCGGUCCAGCGCCAUCUUGGAUUUCCUCGGGUGGUGUUGAGUUUAAGUAAGAGUUUACCUGCACCUGUGAAGUGUUGGUUACUUUACACUCCACAAACAUCGACAUGACCCUCCUGAAUUGCUGUUCAGACUUCACCUACCUUCCCAUGGCUCUGUAUUGUUAACAUCCUUCCAAAGACCAACUUUAUUAUCACGAGUGGCUGAAAUUGGUGCCUCAGUAACGUUGUUAGGAAAAGACCAAUGAAGACAGCCAGAUGGUGGUCAGUGGCAAUUUUACUGUUGGGGCUCGCUGUGCUCGGUGCCGAUGGGAGACCCAACAAGGAGGGAUUCAGGCCGCCACCCUAUCGACCAGUCGUGAGAUUCCGACACAAGGGGACUGUCUUUUCAAAGACAACAUCAAAUUAAUACGAGGCACAGCUGAGCAAAGAAGACGACGAUCUCUGAAUGAAGCGGCAUGCGGCGCACCUGCUGCCGUGAUAACGGAUCACGAGUGGAAAACUCCGGACAAAAGACGAGUUCUGUGUCUUUUGGGUGACUUUAUUAAACAUACUGCUGGUGGCGAAAGCAAGAGAAGCAGAGACGGAGUGUGACGGAGUGGGGUGUGUUUGCAGUGAGAGACCAGAGGAGCGCCGGGGUACAAUCAUGAUGCCGGCUCAACAUUGUGAUAACUGUCAGCCAUCGGCGAUGGACGAGGGCAUCGUACAUUGGCAGUUCCCUGACCUCAGUGUUAAAUUAUACUUAAUGGAUUGAUGGACUGAUGAAUUAAUUAUCAUCAUUAAAGUAGACUUUAUGUACAUAACAAAGUUAAUUUACACCUGCCAUUGAAAUGCCUCUUGUAUUAGGAUUGUAUCUGGAUAAGAUUUUAACCUGAUAACGUUUACACCUGGUCUUAAUAUGUGUCUCUAUAAUCCACAUUGAGAUCCGAACGCUCUGUCCCUCUCAAACAACCGAACAUCACAUCCUCCCCUAGUUUGUGUGAGUCCACAAAAUGCUGUAUAACUGUAGACUGUAUAAUAACUUUCUGAGCCGUCUCUGAGCUCGCUAUCCAGUUUUCCUCCAUGGAUAAUAAGUC